UCUAAAACCGGUCAGCAGAGGGCUCUCACCGUGUGCAAACAACUUGCGCGGAGAGCACAUACUCCCUGCUGCAGGAAGCCGUUUACUCCAACAUGUUUAAAAUUGCAUCAUGUGUGCCGAAUGUUCGUUUUUAAAGCAAAACCGCUCCGGUAUUAGGAGUUGAGCUGCCUCUCCUCGGUCCCUAUAAGGAUUUUUCCGUGUGCGUUGGAGGGAACUGGAGAGAAGAAAAGACUGGAUUUCGGAGCUCUUCUGUUAGCGCAGAAACAAAGGCCGUAGCCGGGUCCAGUGCAUAUUGAUGCAGUUCUGCUUGAAUAGAAAGACCUGCUUUACCCAGGAACACAUCAAUGUGUCCAUUCACUGAGCUGCAGCCCGCCAUGAGGGCCAGGCAGUUCAAUGGAUUCCUGAGAUAUUACAUCCGGCAGAUCCACCAGCCUGGCUUGGAUAAGUCACGGAUAAACAGCCUCCUCAUCUCCGGUUCUGCACACGCACACAAACUCAGCAACCUCAGUCUCCUUAAAGUAAAUCUCUGCCUGUUGAAAAUA